rnacentral:rRNA from 1 species
UACGUAGGGGGCAAGCGUUGUCCGGAAUUAUUGGGCGUAAAGAGCGUGUAGGCGGCCAGAUAAGUCCGCUGUGAAAUCUCGAGGCUCAACUUCGAGCUGUCGGUGGAAACUAUCUGGCUAGAGUCCGGAAGAGGAGAAUGGAAUUCCUGGUGUAGCGGUGAAAUGCGCAGAUAUCAGGAAGAACACCGGUGGCGAAGGCGGGUCUCUGGGCCGAUACUGACGCUGAGGAGCGAAAGCGUGGGGAGCAAACAGG